UGGGGAAUAUUGCACAAUGGGCGAAAGCCUGAUGCAGCAACGCCGCGUGAGUGAUGAAGGUCUUCGGAUUGUAAAGCUCUGUCUUUUGGGACGAUAAUGACGGUACCAAAGGAGGAAGCCACGGCUAACUACGUGCCAGCAGCCGCGGUAAUACGUAGGUGGCGAGCGUUGUCCGGAUUUACUGGGCGUAAAGGGUGCGUAGGCGGAUGUUUAAGUGAGAUGUGAAAUACCCGGGCUUAACUUGGGUGCUGCAUUUCAAACUGGAUAUCUAGAGUGCAGGAGAGGAGAAUGGAAUUCCUAGUGUAGCGGUGAAAUGCGUAGAGAUUAGGAAGAACACCAGUGGCGAAGGCGAUUCUCUGGACUGUAACUGACGCUGAGGCACGAAAGCGUGGGUAGCAACAGGAUUAGAUACCCUGGUAGUCCACGCCGUAAACGAUGAGUACUAGGUGUAGGAGGUAUCGACCCCUUCUGUGCCGCAGUAACACAUUAAGUACUCCG
rnacentral:rRNA from 1 species